rnacentral:rRNA from 1 species
UACGGGAGGCAGCAGUGGGGAAUAUUGCACAAUGGGCGCAAGCCUGAUGCAGCCAUGCCGCGUGUAUGAAAAAGGCCUUCGGGUUGUAAAGUACUUUCAGUCGUGAGGAAGGUGUUAAGGUUAAUAACCUUAGCAAUUGACGUUAGCGACAGAAGAAGCACCGGCUAACUCCGUGCCAGCAGCCGCGGUAAUACGGAGGGUGCGAGCGUUAAUCGGAAUUACUGGGCGUAAAGGGCACGCAGGCGGUUAAUUAAGUUGGAUGUGAAAUCCCCGGGCUUAACCUGGGAAUGGCAUUCAAGACUGGUUAGCUAGAGUCUUGUAGAGGGGGUUAGAAUUCCAUGUGUAGCGGUGAAAUGCGUAGAGAUGUGGAGGAAUACCGGUGGCGAAGGCGGCCCCGUGGACAAAGACUGACGCUCAUGUGCGAAAGCGUGGGGAGCAAACAGGGAUUAGAUAC